UUCCCUCAAUUUUAGUCUUGCAAUUGUUGUUCGUUUUCCCAUUCCGUCUUAAUUUGUGACAAUUACUUUAGUCCAAUUAAUAAGAUUGUAUGGUGAGUAAACAAUUAAUUUAACUGAUCUAUUUGUGCUCACCUGUAUUGGGUUUCAUUAAAUUAACCUUCAUGUUUUUGUUUCCUUCGAACUUAUCCAUCCUGGUUUGUGCUAUCAAGUUUUACACUGUUACUGAUGACUCUACUUUUAUGUCUGAUGGUUACCCUUAAAGAGUUAAUCGCCGACAGGAGUAAGCUCACAGAUAUUUAUAACAUCUUAACGUGAUAUAUUAUGCGGUUGAAUUAUUGAUGAUGCUUUAGGCUCAUCUACUUUGAAAACGUUUUGCCAAAAACCUUGAGAUUGUAAUUUGAAAUAGACCCAGACGAAGAUGGAAACGAGAAAUGAUGAAUUGUUACUGGUGCUCAUUAAAGAUUGCUAUUUCAAGUGAUUUAAAGGUCAACAUAAAUUAGCUUGAGUUUGACAAAAUAUUCAAUUCUCAUAAAUGGUAAUCCAAUGUAAAAGUUUCUGAAAAUGUCAUUCAAAAACCUAAUGAUACUUGGAGUUGCGAUGAUCUCUCUAAAGAAAAAUUGAAGCAAACUAACUUAAUAACUUUUAUUAGAUUAUCUUUCAACAAUUCCUUUUAUUGACUUUAUUUAUGAAAGGAACAUGAUUGAAACAUAAUUUGAUAACAGGGUUACAAUGAAACAAAAACCUAAUGACAUCAAUGAAACAUUGAAAAUGCUCAGCAACACACAAUAUCAUGUAAAUAAUAAGUAAAAUAGAUCAGAACCACCUACAGGUCAUCAGCAAUAUUGUAACGAAAUUUGUAACCAUAUUUCCAGACAGAAAGUAACAAAAAAAAUGACAGACAAAUUGAAUCUGUCAUCUACAAGACAAGCUUUGAUGACUGUCUAUCAACGGAUCUUGGCCAACUUUUGGACAUUAAAUUCAAAGAGGCGAAACAAGAAAUGAAGGAAAUGGCAACAAAAGGAAUAAAAUUCCAAGAGAAAACUUUUCAACCUGAAUAAUGAAAACCUGUGUUGAUUAUCUUUAUGAACAAUUGGAAAGUUGGUAAAGGAAAUAGUUUCAAUAAUGUUACCUGUUGAAAAAAACAUUUCUCGUUUUCUUCUUCUUUCCCUGAUAAUGAUCGAUUCUGACCAAUUUCCAGGAUAACUUGUUGAAAUAAUAAGAAUGAAAGUUCACAACUUCAAAGAAGAAAAAUAAACCACAAAUAAACAGUAAAGUCUCUAAAGGAAGGAAAGUUGAAAAAAGCAAUUCUCAUCUGGGAGUUUUUCCAUCCAUUUCAAGUAAAAGGUGAAAAAUAAGGCAAAAUUGAAUUGAAUUUGAUGGAGAGGAGAAACAGAAGAGUUAAAGUGAAAACGAAAGUUUCAUGAUGAACCAUGAUAAUUGUAAGUUGUUUUUGGUUAAUUUGGUACAAUUAGUGGAUGAACAAAAAACAGAAACCUUUGGAAGUUGAUCUUGGAUGUUAAUGCAGAAUCGCAAAGUUUAUAUUGAUUUCUCAUUCUACUCUGAAUAAUCUUUCAACUAUAUUGAAGCUUUCCUGUUUUUUUACAUGAUAAUUAGUUUUCUUCUAAUAACACUUCUUGGAAUGGUAAAGUUGGUGAACAAUGUCAAAUUGGAAGAGCUUUUGAAAAUCAUUUCCUGAUGUAAAUUACACUUGACUGUCUGAAUUUCACCAUUUUCAUGUUGAAAACUUGAGCUUUUAAAAUGAUUUAACUCCAGUCAAUCAUAGGAAUUGUUUUCAAACUGAAAAGUCUAUUCAAGUUUACCAAUUUUGAUUUAUUCAUUUAAAUGUUUGAAAUAAUUCAACUGUUUCUUGUUGUUAUUGUAUUGAGAUGAAUUCUUGUUUUUAUUCAGGUAAAUUCAUUAGCCAUGAAACGUAUAAUGAAAUUUAUUUAAAAAGCUUUCACCAAAACCUUCUUUUAUUAACAAACUUUCCAAUCUUUUGCUUCUUCAUAACACAAGGAUAUGCAUGAAAUUGAUGAAGGAAGUCAAGUUUAAUCAAAUUAAUAACUCACCAUUGACGUAAAUUGAUAUUGAAAAAGUUGAUUUGAAAUUAUUUGAUAACGAUUCAAAUAAUCUUGAAUAACUUGAAGUUUAAACUUGAACAACAUUUCUAUCAAUUUGAUUAAAACUGGAAAUUUGUGUCUGAAAAUCAUGUCUGAUAUAGAAAAGGUUUGAAAUUUUGGAAAAUUUGGAAAAUACAUUUUCCA